UAAAUUUGCUUGCUGGCAUACCUCUGACCAAAAUUCAAAUGUUGCAAAUAGAAGGUAUCAAUGCCAUUUAUUUUUAACUUCAGAAGAAAGUUCACAGAAUCACUGGGGUUGGAAAGGAUCUCUGGAGAUCAUUUACUCCUACCCCCUGUCAAGGCAGAGUCACCUAGAGCGGUGACACAGGAAUGUGUCCAGGUGGAUUCUGAAUGUCUCCAAAGAGGGAGAUUCCAUGACUUCCCUAGGCAGCCUGUUCCAGUGCUCUGCCACCCUCAGAAGCUCUUCUCAUGUUGAGGAAAGAAUAACUUAUUUUGGAAAGACCUUUAAGAUCAUCAAGUCCAACUGUAAUUUUGCUGGUAUGACAAGUUUGUGUGGUUCCUGCUAAGAAAAUUAAUUACUUGGGAAUCAAGAUGUAUAAAGUCACACAAGAUGAAAAAACAACAGUAUUUUAAACAAAAAGUGCAGGUGAUCCAUGUGCCAAAAACUCCUGUCAGAGCUGGUAGCAGCAGACAAAUCAGUGAUGUGCAGGUUUCUUAACUUUAUAGUUAAUUGUUAAGACUAAAACGAAAAUAAGCACAUGAAAGGCUGUAAUAAAGUAGUACUAAUACUUGUAAAGAUCAGAACAUAUGCAUAUCCUCCUCUAUUUUGCUUUUCUUUGUAAUUUAAGAUGUUAGCUUAUUGCUAUAAAAUGAUCUAAAAUCU